AACAGCUCAAAUUUGAAAUCUGGGUCUUUUAGGCUCCGAGUUGUAAUUUGUAGAAGAUGCUUUGGGUGCGGCCCCGGUCUAAGUUCCUUGGAACAGGACGUCAUAGAGGGUGAGAAUCCCGUAUGUGAUCGGUGGCUUGCGCCCGUGUAAAGCUCUUUCGACGAGUCGGGUUGUUUGGGAAUGCAGCUCUAAAUGGGUGGUAAAUUUCAUCUAAAGCUAAAUAUUGGCCAGAGACCGAUAGCGCACAAGUAGAGUGAUCGAAAGAUGAAAAGCACUUUGGAAAGAGAGUUAAACAGUACGUGAAAUUGUUGAAAGGGAAGCGCUUGCAACCAGACUUGCGCGGGGUUGAUCAUCCGGGGUUCUCCCCGGUGCACUCGGCCUCGCUCAGGCCAGCAUCGGUUUUGGUGGUUGGAUAAAGGCCUUGGGAAUGUGACUUCUUUCGGGGAGUGUUAUAGCCCUCGGUGCAAUGCAGCCUACCGGGACCGAGGACCGCGCUUCGGCUAGGAUGCUGGCGUAAUGGUUGUAAGCGACCCGUCUUGAAACACGGACCAAGGAGUCUAACAUCUAUGCGAGUGUUUGGGUGUCAAACCCAUACGCGUAAUGAAAGUGAACGGAGGUGAGAACCCUUAAGGGUGCAUCAUCGACCGAUCCUGAUGUCUUCGGAUGGAUUUGAGUAAGAGCAUAGCUGUUGGGACCCGAAAGAUGGUGAACUAUGCCUGAAUAGGGUGAAGCCAGAGGAAACUCUGGUGGAGGCUCGCAGCGGUUCUGACGUGCAAAUCGAUCGUCA
rnacentral:rRNA from 1 species